rnacentral:lncRNA from 1 species
AUUGAUAGAGCUCUUUCUUGGCAGAACCCUCUUCCCUUGAAGCUUAAUAUAUACACAUAUAUAUUUUCAGACUUAUCCUAGCCAGCAUCCUCCUCCACGCCAUGGGACUUUCAGGAAAAAAUCACCAAAAGAUACUGGGAACCAUAAUCUUCAUCUUGUUGGUUCUCAACUCGAUGGCUCUCGCAACGUCCAGACCGAUGAAAGGUAGAAAGAUUGAUCAAAGUUUUAAGACAGUUGUGUUUGUUGCAGGUCCUGUCCCACCUUCUGCCGCUUCUUCUUGCACCCACAUAGGCAACAAUGGUGGUGCCCCCUGCCAUGGGCCCUGACUGGCGGUGCAACCCAACAACAUUAUGGUCUUUCCCCUAUUCUUGAAAUUGAUUUUUGAUUCGAAUUGGCCCUUUUGGCGAUUCAAAAUAUCAUUUCUCUCAGAUUAUGUAAUUUAAAUAGGAU